UACGUAGGGGCAAGCGUUGUCCGGAAUUAUUGGGCGUAAAGCGCGCGCAGGCGGUCUUUUAAGUCUGAUGUGAAAGCCCACGGCUUAACCGUGGAGGGUCAUUGGAAACUGAGGGACUUGAGUACAGAAGAGGAGAGUGGAAUUCCACGUGUAGCGGUGAAAUGCGUAGAGAUGUGGAGGAACACCAGUGGCGAAGGCGACUCUCUGGUCUGUAACUGACGCUGAGGUGCGAAAGCGUGGGUAGCAAACAGGAUUAGAUACCCGUGUAGU
rnacentral:rRNA from 1 species